rnacentral:rRNA from 1 species
GACGAACGCUGGCGGCGUGCUUAACACAUGCAAGUCGAACGGUGAAGCGCCUUCCUUUUUGGUGGGUGUGGAUGAGUGGCGAACGGGUGAGUAACACGUGAGUAACCUGCCCCCUUCUUCUGGAUAACCGCAUGAAAGUGUGGCUAAUACGGGAUAUUCUGGGUCUGUCGCAUGAUGGGUCUGGGAAAGAUAUUGUUUCGGUGGGGGAUGGGCUCGCGGCCUAUCAGCUUGUUGGUGGGGUGAUGGCCUACCAAGGCGGUGACGGGUAGCCGGCCUGAGAGGGUGGACGGUCACACUGGGACUGAGACACGGCCCAGACUCCUACGGGAGGCAGCGGUGGGGAAUAUUGCACAAUGGGCGCAAGCCUGAUGCAGCGACGCCGCGUGAGGGAUGAGGCCUUCGGGUUGUGAACCUCUUUCGCCAGUGAAGCAGGCCUGCCUCGUUUGUGGGUGGGUUGACGGUAGCUGGAUAAGAAGCGCCGGCUAACUACGUG